UUAUGGCUCAGGACGAACGCUGGCGGCGUGCCUAAUACAUGCAAGUCGAACGGUCUUUCUAUGGAAGCUUGCUUCCACUGAGAAGAUAGUGGCGAACGGGUGAGUAACACGUGGGUAACCUGCCCAUAAGAGGGGGAUAACAUCCGGAAACGGGUGCUAAUACCGCAUAGUUUUCUUGAUCGCAUGAUCGGGAAAGGAAAGACGGCCUUUGUGCUGUCGCUUAUGGAUGGACCCGCGGCGUAUUAGUUAGUUGGUGAGGUAACGGCUCACCAAGACGAUGAUACGUAGCCGACCUGAGAGGGUGAUCGGCCACAUUGGGACUGAGACACGGCCCAAACUCCUACGGGAGGCAGCAGUAGGGAAUCUUCCGCAAUGGACGAAAGUCUGACGGAGCAACGCCGCGUGAGUGAAGAAAGGUUUUCGGAUCGUAAAACUCUGUUGUCAGAGAAGAACAAGUUGGAGAGUAACUGCUCCAGCCUUGACGGUAUCUGACCAGAAAGCCACGGCUAACUACGUGCCAGCCGCAGC
rnacentral:rRNA from 1 species